UGAAGUAAAAAUGAUUUCCUGGUUAGC
rnacentral:piRNA from 1 species